rnacentral:rRNA from 1 species
CAGCCGCGGGAACACCGGCGGCCCGAGUGGUGAUCGUGAUUAUUGGGUCUAAAGGGUCCGUAGCCGGUUUGGUCAGUCCUCCGGGAAAUCUGAUAGCUCAACUAUUAGGCUUUCGGGGGAUACUGCCAGACUUGGAACCGGGAGAGGUAAGAGGUACUACAGGGGUAGGAGUGAAAUCUUGUAAUCCCUGUGGGACCACCUGUGGCGAAGGCGUCUUACCAGAACGGGUUCGACGGUGAGGGACGAAAGCUGGGGGCACGAACCGGAUUAGAUACCCGGGUAGUCCCAGCCGUAAACGAUGCUCGCUAGGUGUCAGGCAUGGCGCGACCGUGUCUGGUGCCGCAGGGAAGCCGUGAAGCGAGCCACCUGGGAAGUACGGCCGCAAGGCUGAAACUUAAAGGAAUUGGCGGGGGAGCACAACAACGGGUGGAGCCCUGCGGUUUAAUUGGACUCAACGCCGGACAACUCACCGGGGGCGACAGCAAUAUGUAGGCCAAGCUGAAGACUUUGCCUGAAUCGCUGAGAAGUGGUGCAUGG